rnacentral:rRNA from 1 species
CCUACGGGAGGCAGCAGUGGGGAAUAUUGCACAAUGGGCGCAAGCCUGAUGCAGCCAUGCCGCGUGUAUGAAGAAGGCCUUCGGGUUGUAAAGUACUCUCAGCAGUGAGGAAGGCGGGUACGUUAAUAGCGUGCUCGUUUGACGUUAGCUGCAGAAGAAGCACCGGCUGACUC